rnacentral:rRNA from 1 species
CCUACGGGCGGCAGCAGUGGGGAAUAUUGGACAAUGGGGGGAACCCUGAUCCAGCGACGCCGCGUGAGUGAAGAAGUAUUUCGGUAUGUAAAGCUCUAUUAGCAGGGAAGAAAAAAAUGACGGUACCUGACUAAGAAGCCCCGUCUAACUAAGUGCCAGCAGCCGCGGUAUUACGUAGGGGGCAAGCUUUAUCCGGAUUUACUGGGUGUAAAGGUGGCGUAGACGGCGAUGCAAGUCUGAAGUGAAAGGCGGGGGCCCAACCACCGGACUGCUUUGGAAACUGUAUGGCUGGAGACCAGGGGAGGUAAGUGGAAUUCCUAGUGGAGCGGUGAAAUGCGUAGAUAUUAGGAGGAACACCAGUGGCGAAGGCGGCUUACUGGACUGUAACUGACGUUGAGGCUCGAAAGCGUGGGGAGCAAACAGGAUUAGAUACCCCGUGUAGUC